AGUGAACGCUGGCGGUAGGCCUAACACAUGCAAGUCGAACGGCAGCACAGUAAGAGCUUGCUCUUACGGGUGGCGAGUGGCGGACGGGUGGGGAAUACAUCGGAAUCUACUUUUUCGUGGGGGAUAACGUAGGGAAACUUACGUUAAUACCGCAUACGACCUACGGGUGAAAGCAGGGGAUCUUAGGACUGUGCGCGACUGAAUGAGCCGAUGUCGGAUUAGCUAGUUGGCGGGGUAAAGGCCCACCAAGGCGACGAUCCGUAGCUGGUCUGAGAGGAUGAUCAGCCACACUGGAACUGAGACACGGUCCAGACUCCUACGGGAGGCAGCAGUGGGGAAUAUUGGACAAUGGGCGCAAGCCUGAUCCAGCCAUACCGCGUGGGUGAAGAAGGCCUUCGGGUUGUAAAGCCCUUUUGUUGGGAAAGAAAAGCAGCAGGUUAAUACCCCGCUGUUCUGACGGUACCCAAAUAAUAAGCACCGGCUAACUUCGUG
rnacentral:rRNA from 1 species